CAGCAGCCGCGGUAAUACGAAGGGGGCUAGCGUUGCUCGGAAUUACUGGGCGUAAAGGGAGCGUAGGCGGAUGUUUAAGUCAGAGGUGAAAGCCCCCGGCUCAACCGGGGAGGGUCAUUGGAAACUGGGAAACUUGAGUGCAGAAGAGGAGAGUGGAAUUCCACGUGUAGCGGUGAAAUGCGUUGAGAUCGGAAAGAACACCAACGGCGAAAGCACUCUGCUGGGCCGACACUGACACUGAGAGACGAAAGCUAGGGGAGCAAAUGGGAUUAGAUACCCCCGUAGUCCCUGUCUCUUAUAC
rnacentral:rRNA from 1 species